rnacentral:rRNA from 1 species
AUUGAACGCUGGCGGCAUGCCUUACACACGCAAGUCGAACGGUAACAGGUCUUUGGAUGCUGACGAGUGGCGAACGGGUGAGUAAUACAUCGGAACGUGCCUAGUAGUGGGGGAUAACUACUCGAAAGAGUGGCUAAUACCGCAUGAGAUCUACGGAUGAAAGCAGGGGAUCGCAAGACCUUGUGCUACUAGAGCGGCCGAUGGCAGAUUAGGUAGUUGGUGGGAUAAAAGCUUACCAAGCCGACGAUCUGUAGCUGGUCUGAGAGGACGAGCAGCCACAGUGGGACUGAGACACGGCCCAGAGUCCUACGGGAGGCAGCAGUGGGGAAUUUUGGACAAUGGGCGCAAGCCUGAUCCAGCAAUGCCGCGUGCAGGAUGAAGGCCUUCGGGUUGUAAACUGCUUUUGUACGGAACGAAAAGCCCUGGGUUAAUACCCUGGGGUCAUGACGGUACCGUAAGAAUAAGCACCGGCUAACUACGUGCCAGCCGCCGCAGUAAUAC